rnacentral:rRNA from 1 species
AUGGUGCGAUCUAUGAUGUCUCUUACCGAUUUACGGCUAUCAUUUUGGGGAUACGCUCUAGACAGCUACAUUCACUUUAAAUAG